rnacentral:lncRNA from 1 species
AUGGAACGAGACGUGGAAUGGAAUCAGAUGUAAUGAAAGGAAUCUCGAAAUAGAAGUGGAUGAAAGAAAAGAGAAACACCAUGAAAGGAAGGGAAAAGAAGAAAGUUUUCCGACUACUGUAAAAUUUCUUUUCAGGGUUCGGAAUGGAACGAGAAGUGGAAUGGAAUCAGAUGUAAUGGGAGGAAUCUCGUAAUAGAAGUGGAUGAAA